UACAGAGGGUGCAAGCGUUGUUCGGAAUUAUUGGGCGUAAAGCGCACGUAGGCGGCUUGUUAAGUCAGGGGUGAAAUCCUGGGAGCUCAACUCCAGAACUGCCUUUGAUACUGGCGAGCUUGAGUUCGGGAGAGGUGAGUGGAACUGCGAGUGUAGAGGUGAAAUUCGUAGAUAUUCGCAAGAACACCAGUGGCGAAGGCGGCUCACUGGCCCGAUACUGACGCUGAGGUGCGAAAGCGUGGGGAGCAAACAGG
rnacentral:rRNA from 1 species